rnacentral:rRNA from 1 species
AGAGUUUGAUCCUGGCUCAGGACGAACGCUGGCGGCGUGCCUAAUACAUGCAAGUCGAGCGGAUCUUGUCCUUCGGGGCAAGGUUAGCGGCGGACGGGUGAGUAACACGUAGGCAACCUGCCCUCAAGACUGGGAUAACCUCCGGAAACGGAUGCUAAUACCGGAUAUGCGGCCUCUCCACCUGGAGAGACCGGGAAAGACGGCGCAAGCUGUCACUUGAGGAUGGGCCUGCGGCGCAUUAGCUAGUUGGUGAGGUAACGGCUCACCAAGGCGACGAUGCGUAGCCGACCUGAGAGGGUGAUCGGCCACACUGGGACUGAGACACGGCCCAGACUCCUACGGGAGGCAGCAGUAGGGAAUCUUCCGCAAUGGACGCAAGUCUGACGGAGCAACGCCGCGUGAGUGAGGAAGGCCUUCGGGUCGUAAAGCUCUGUUGCCAGGGAAGAACGGGUGAAAGAGUAACUGCUUUUGCCAUGACGGUACCUGAGAAGAAAGCCCCGGCUAACUACGUGCCAGCAGCCGCGGUAAUACGUAGGGGGCAAGCGUUGUCCGGAAUUAUUGGGCGUAAAGCGCGCGCAGGCGGCUUUGUAAGUCCGGUGUUUAAUCUUGGGGCUCAACCCCAAGUCGCACGGGAAACUGCAAGGCUUGAGUGCAGAAGAGGAAAGUGGAAUUCCACGUGUAGCGGUGAAAUGCGUAGAGAUGUGGAGGAACACCAGUGGCGAAGGCGACUUUCUGGGCUGUAACUGACGCUGAGGCGCGAAAGCGUGGGGAGCAAACAGGAUUAGAUACCCCAGUAGUCC